GCCCACUUGGGCAGAGGAUCCUCCUCGGAUCAUCACCGGGGUUUGGUUUGUUUCUGCUGUGCAAGAGACAGAGCUUAGCCCUGUUCCUGAGCAGGUGCUUAGCCCUUCCCUUUGUCAUGGCUCCAGGAAGGCAGCAGCUCCAAGCUUGCCCAUCUGGGCAGAGGAUCCUCCUCCUGCCAGCACAGCAUUUGUGCUACCUCAUUUUGAGUCCUGUGACCCACUGCUUCUUGUGGCUGUUAAAAUGACUGGCAGAAGAACCUCCUCAGGGCAAGCAGUUGACCAGUGCUGUUCACUCUCAUCCACUGCUGUCUCUGUUUCAGAUUCCAAAUAUUGGGUAGCCUAGACAAUGCCUGGAUUAAAAGGUCCAUUCAGGAGGGGAAACUUUUAGCAUUCACCUUGUGUACACAGCCAUCUCCGCAGCGGCAUUCGGGGCUGUUAUUUCAGCUCGGCGUUCCGCUGCUGCGAACAAGACCUUUCGCCACAAAGACUUGGGAGAGACAUUCUGCAGUGCACUGCUGAAACCUGGCCCUGCUCUUUAUCCUGGCUUGUUAGUGUUAUCAGGUGGAAUCAGCUCAAACAGGAACCCCCUGGCUGACAACUUCACAAUUGCAUUACUGUUUUAAGGGGGGGAGCUGCCAAUGCCCAGCCGACUUUUAACAAGCCAACCGAGCGGAAUAACAAUGCAGCUGCAACAUUGGAUGGCAUUUCUGUUAGCCCUCUUUUAAGGCUGAAGGUGUUAAUUAGGAAUCAAAGAAUACAACCCCGCCAGCUUGCUUUCAGAAGCUAUACACCGGCCACUGCACUUUUCAGAAGGAAAAUAAAUCUAAUAAAGGGACAAAAAUGUUGUUUGUCACACCAGUAACGUGUACUUAAGGCCCUUUGAUCAGGAGCUUUUUAUGUAGCCUCCUCAGACAGGCUGAAUAUAGGUUUUUCCCCCCCCUUUCUUUGGGCUUUUCUGUAUACUGAUCCUAGGGUUGCCUGCUAACCUGAUAGCCACUGGAAUGCUUUGCAGGUUAGAAUGGCUUGAAACCACAUCAAAUAAAAAUUAUAACUGCUCACAUCUCUAA